AGGUCAUUUCAAAGAGGGUUUGUUGGGCUUUAAACCCAAAGCUCUUAACGCUGUGACCAGAUUGAGGCUCUUCACAGAAUGCCAGAGGCACUUUCUAGUGCUGUGUUCUUCUGAGGAGAUAUGGGA
rnacentral:snoRNA from 1 species